UUACCCUUGCCAAUAAAAAUAAUAAAAAAAAAGAUCAAGUGUAGUAUCUGUUCUUAUCAGUUUAAUAUCUGGUAGGCCAUUCCCUGAAUGGUCAGUAUAUUAAUCUGAUUUUUGGCCUUGAGUCAUGGAGGUGGAUUCAUUCACGCCGUGACCAAAAAUGUUCAAUUACUUCUACAAUGGUUAUUUUUAUUAUUC